rnacentral:tRNA from 1 species
AUAACGCCGGCCUGUCACGCCGGAGGCCGAGGGUUCGAGUCCCUUCCGCUCCGCCA